AUUUAUGCAGAGUUGAAAUUCAGCCCAACAGCAGUGACUUACAGAACCUAUACGUGGAAGCUNNNNNNNNNNNNNNNNNNNNNNNNNNNNNNNNNNNNNNNNNNNNNNNNNNNNNNNNNNNNNNNNNNNNNNNNNNNNNNNNNNNNNNNNNNNNNNNNNNNGAAAUUCAGCCCAACAGCAGUGACUUACAGAACCUAUACGUGGAAGCUGACUGAUACGGACCCUGUCAGGCUUCAGGAGCCCUCCAACCAGAGGUCCUUGCUCCUGGAUUGGGACAGGUUUUUAUUGCAUACUUGUAAUACAGUAAAAACACAAAAUGUUUUUACCAAUUUGUUCAUUGAAAAACAAUUUCAAGUUGACAUCGUGUCUGUGAAUGUCUCUGACAGAAAUGAGGUGGUCUUGUACCACCUCCACCACCCAUUGGUGGCAGCUGAGUGCAGUCUGACAGCGUGUAUAGGCCAGCCCUGGAAGACACAGCCUCAUCCCCUGUGUCUUCAGGGAGUCGCCUGGGAAUCAGGUGAACUGCCAUGCUCUCUUUGAGGAUGCAGUUUUUAAUACACAUAGCAAGGUAUUUUGUGACUGUGGUUACUUCUUUUGUGUUUUAUAUUUGUUCAAAAAUCUUCUUGUAGUGUCUUCCUGGUAGGCUGACCCAUGAUCCUCACACCAUCCAAGGCCCAGCUUGUCUCUCUUAAGAGAGUCUGACAUGCAUUACAUGACCGGGCUGAAAAAUUACCCUUCUGCAUUCAGUCAGGGUUACAGGGAGGAGAACAGUAAAAAGAUUCCCUAGAAUCUUGCCAAUACUUUUAGCAGUUGCUUCAGUUAUAUUGUGGUCACUGUGGGUCAUUUUGUAACAUUGGAAAAGAGGUACAUGGUCACACGACUGUUGCUAUCACUCUGAGACCUGAAUUGUAGAAUGAGGCCCAGCUAUGUGGUUUUGAGCAGGCAGGUAACAGAUUAUAACCUGCAAAGUGAUCAUUUUCUUUAGUAUCUAAGUGCCCUUGCAUAACCUCAGUGUAGAUCUCNNNNNNNNNNNNNNNNNNNNNNAUUAACAACUAAUGUUGUGGCAAGGUUGUCUGUGUAUCUGGAGUUUAUAGAGCUUCCCGCCUCUAUAGUUGGAGAGACUUUGACAGAUCAAGUCACAAGGGUGUGAGGAUAAAUGAUAACCGUGGCAUUGCCUGGCCUGACCCUUACAUGGUAAGUGCUCGAUUUUUAAGCUUUCAAACAAAUAGAGAGCUCAUACUUGAGUGAUGGGUUUGAGAGAAGCCUCGCGUUCUGGUGUUAAUUCUGCAAGACGAUUCUCUGCCGAGUGGAGCCUUCCACUUGAUCUGCUUUGUGUCUCCGUUUUCUCUGGACGCGUCUAGCUUCUCUGGCUCACUUCCUCUUUGACUGCAUCGUUGUCUUUUCUGACCAUUGCUGUACGCAUCCCCUGCACGGUGCUUAGUCUGCUUUCAUAUCUUUUGUGCCCCGUGGACAUAGGCUUCUUAGAAACCCGUCAUCAUGGACACUGUAGGAUAACCUUUAGGGUAAGCUCUUCCUCCAGGACGCUUAUUGGUCCUCCUCUCCCUUUUCAUCCCCUUUAUUUCAGUCUCCUUUCUUCAUCUCUAUCCUUAAAUCUUUAAAGACCUUUGAGCUCUUUCCCAAGCCCGCAACUUCCCUCUGGACCUUUCCUUCUGGGAUGUCUCAUCAUCGUCCCAGGCCCAAAGUUAGAGUCAUAUUCCUUAUUCCCAAAAUGACUCCUCUCACUGACUUCCCUGUGUCUUUUGGCCACACCCCCUUCCUCCCUGUCACCGAGGAGCCCUCAUGCCUGAGGUUCCAUCACUGCUUUCUCCACUUUCCGCUGUCUUUUUAUCACUGUUUCUUGUUCCCAGCCUGGCUUCAUUUCUAAUCUGCCUCCUCUUGGUUUUCCUGCCUCCGCACACUUCUCCAUUGAAGCCAUUGUGCUAAGGAUGUCAGGGUAACCUUUCUAAAUGAUGUUUUCCUGUCAAGAAAAAAAAAAAAAUUGUUCGAUUCCCAGGUUUUUUCAGUGGCUAGCAAGGAUGAAUCCCAGCCUGACAGUCACAGGGGCCCUUUUUAUGCUCUUUUCCUUGGUACGUCCUGAGUGUCGUCCUUUCCUCUCGCCGGGCCUGUCUUUCCUUCAUUCUUCAUCCCAUGCAUAAUGGGCUUGUGCCCUCCUCUGAGUCUUUGCCAGUUCUUCCCCGCCUCACCCCCCCACCUCUAGUCCUUCUGUCUGUAUAUCCUGUCCAUAGUGGAAGAUCAUUGGAGGCGCCUUCCUUGAUCACCCAGCUGCAGAGAGUUAUCCUCUUCUGAAAUAGGCAGCACCACUCUGCUUUUGAACUAAUACCUUCUCUGGAAGAGUACACAAAAAACUGGGAAGUAGGAGAAAGGGAAAAGUGACUCUGUCCUAUGUAUUCUUUCAUUCCUGAGUCUUACACUGUGUACAUGUAUCACUUAUUCAGGAAAAGAAAAUUUUAACAUAUUUAGCAAAUUAUUUUUAAAAAUAGCAAGUUAUUACUGUUUAUUAUGCCUCUUUCCUCAUAUCACCUAACUUAGUAUAAUGAGUACCUAGUAGGAGCUCAGUUAAGAAGUUGGAUACGUGAAUAACUGGCUGCAAGUGUGAGGGAUGGAAGGAAGAAGGCAUGAACAAAUCAGAGGCAAUCUUGGGCCUGACCCAGCCUCCUCCUCUUGAUUAAUUUCAAAACUAAAGGAGAAAGGAUCACUUUUGUCUUCUUAAGUUCAGUUCAGUUCAGUUCAGUCGCUCAGUCGUGUCCGACUCUUU
ensembl:lncRNA